rnacentral:rRNA from 1 species
CCUACGGGUGGCAGCAGUGGGGAAUAUUGGGCAAUGGGCGCAAGCCUGACCCAGCAACGCCGCGUGAAGGAAGAAGGCUCUCGGGUUGUAAAGCUCUUUUCUAAGGGAAGAAGAAAGUGACGGUACCUCAGGAAUAAGCCUCGGCUAACUACGUGCCAGCAGCCGCGGUAAUACGUAGGAGGCAAGCGUUAUCCGGAAUGACUGGGCGUAAAGGGUGCGUAGGUGGGUUGAUAAGUUGGUAGCGUAACUCCGAGGCUCAACCUCGGCACUACUACCAAUACUGUCGGACUUGAGUGCAGGGGGGGCAACUGGAAUUCGUGGUGUAGCGGUGGAAUGCGUAGAUAUUAGGAGGAACACCAGUGGCGAAGGCGAGUUGCUGGACUGUAACUGACACUGAGGCACGAAAGCGUGGGGAGCAAACAGGAUUAGAUACCCGGGUAGUC